rnacentral:ncRNA from 1 species
UUGGUCCCACACAUAUAAGUUAUGUCUAAAUAGAGCUUUGCUUGUGUACCAAAUCAGGUUGGUUGGACUGCUUGAGUGGAAAUGCUUGAGUGGUUUGUCCAUGAAUUGCAAUCAUCAUAUGGGUGGGGUGAAUCCUUUGCAGAUGACUUGAAUGGGAAUGGGGUACUGUAAGCAGUAGAGUAGCCUUGUUGCUACAAUCUGCUGAAGUUAAGCCCUUGUUCUAUAGAUUU